UACGGGGGGAGCAAGCGUUGUUCGGAUUUACUGGGCGUAAAGGGCGCGUAGGCGGCCACCGCAAGUCGACUGUGAAAUCUCCGGGCUUAACCCGGAAAGGUCAGCCGAUACUGCGGGGCUAGAGUGCAGAAGGGGCAACUGGAAUUCUCGGUGUAGCGGUGAAAUGCGUAGAUAUCGAGAGGAACACCUGCGGCGAAGGCGGGUUGCUGGGCUGACACUGACGCUGAGGUGCGAAAGCUAGGGGAGCGAACGGG
rnacentral:rRNA from 1 species